rnacentral:rRNA from 1 species
GAUGAACGCUGGCGGCGUGCCUAAUACAUGCAAGUCGAGCGAACAGACGAGGAGCUUGCUCCUCUGACGUUAGCGGCGGACGUGUGAGUAACACGUGGAUAACCUACCUAUAAGACUGGGAUAACUUCGGGAAACCGGAGCUAAUACCGGAUAAUAUAUUGAACCGCAUGGUUCAAUAGUGAAAUACGGUUUUGCUGUCACUUAUAGAUGGAUCCGCGCCGCAUUAGCUAGUUGGUAAGGUAACGGCUUACCAAGGCAACGAUGCGUAGCCGACCUGAGAGGGUGAUCGGCCACACUGGAACUGAGACACGGUCCAGACUCCUACGGGAGGCAGCAGUAGGGAAUCUUCCGCAAUGGGCGAAAGCCUGACGGAGCAACGCCGCGUGAGUGAUGAAGGUCUUCGGAUCGUAAAACUCUGUUAUUAGGGAAGAACAAAUGUGUAAGUAACUAUGCACGUCUUGACGGUACCUAAUCAGAAAGCCCCGGCUAACUACGUG